UAAAAUAAUAUAAAUAAAAAUAAUUUAAAUAUGCCACUAAAUUUUUUCUAUUUACUGAAAAGGAAAAUUUAAUUUAAUUAAAAAGAAAAUUUAAUGUACCUUUUGCAUUAGGGGUUUUCAAAAUAAUAUAAAAUUUUAAUUUUCUCGAAAUAUUUUGAUCUAAAAUUUAAUUUUUUUUAGUAUUUCAACAUUAAAAUAAAAUAAAUUUUAGAGGUGAAAUUCUUAUCAAAAAAUAAUAUAUCUAGUUUUAAAAAAUUAACUUAAUGUUACUUUGUAAUUUAUUUUAUUUAAAAAAUUUACAAAGAACUAAAAUUUAUUAAUUAAAGGAUUAACAUUUUCCUAUUUAUUUUUAUAAAUAAAUUUAUUUUCUUAAAAAUAAAAAUUUUAUUUUUAAAAUAAUUUUAAUUUAAAAAUUAAGUGAAAAUGAAAAUAUAAGUAAAAGUUAAUUUAUUAUUUUGCUUUAAUAAAUAAAUAAAAAUUUAUAUUGAUUUAAUUUUUAAGAACUAGGCAAAUAUUUUUUCUGACUGUUUACUAAAAACAACGCAUUUAGAAAAAAAUAAUAAAUGCAAAUCCUGCUCAAUGAAAUUUUUAAAUUGCUGUAGUAUUUUGACUAUACAAAGGUAUUGAAAUAAGAUUUUAAUUGAAUGCUAAGAGAAUGGAAUUUCAGAAAAUAACUUUUUUAAUAUUAAAAAUUAAAAUUUUUUUAAUUUGUGCAGAAACAAUUAUAACAAUUAAGGACAAGAAGACCCUAAGAAUUUAUAAAUUUAAUUAAUAUUUUUUUAUGCUAAUUAAAUUUUAACUGGGGCGGUUAAGAAAUAUUAAAAACUUUUUGAAAUAAUAUGACCCAUUAAUAAUGACUAUAUGAAAAAAUACUCUAGGGAUAACAGCGUUAUAUUUUUUGAUAGAUCAUAUUGACAAAAAAGUUUGCGACCUCGAUGUUGGAUUAGGAUACUAUUUUAGUGAAGAUACUAAAAUUAGAAGUUUGUUCAACUUUUAAAUUCCUACAUGAUCUGAGUUUAGACCGAUGAGAAUCAGGUUGGAUUCUAUCUUAAUAAUAAAUAAAAUUUAAAUUAGUACGAAAGGAAUAUUUAGAUGUAAUUAUUAGGAUAAACAACUUUAUU
rnacentral:rRNA from 1 species